rnacentral:rRNA from 1 species
GAUUCGUCACACUAUCAUUAACUGAAUCCAUAGGUUAAUGAGGCGAACCGGGGGAACUGAAACAUCUAAGUACCCCGAGGAAAAGAAAUCAACCGAGAUUCCCCCAGUAGCGGCGAGCGAACGGGGAGGAGCCCAGAGCCUGAAUCAGCAUGUGUGUUAGUGGAAGCGUCUGGAAAGGCGCGCGAUACAGGGUGACAGCCCCGUACACAAAAGCGCAUGUGCUGUGAGCUCGAUGAGUAGGGCGGGACACGUGGUAUCCUGUCUGAAUAUGGGGGGACCAUCCUCCAAGGCUAAAUACUCCUGACUGACCGAUAGUGAACCAGUACCGUGAGGGAAAGGCGAAAAGAACCCCGGCGAGGGGAGUGAAAAAGAACCUGAAACCGUGUACGUACAAGCAGUGGGAGCACAGGUUUACCUGUGUGACUGCGUACCUUUUGUAUAAUGGGUCAGCGACUUAU